UGUCUCACAUCUCCCUGUCUUCCUCUGGAAU
rnacentral:piRNA from 1 species